rnacentral:lncRNA from 1 species
AGCUGUGGAAUCUGCGUGUUAACAGGUGUCCCGGGGUUAAGCGGGUGGUCGGCACUCUUCACUUUGAGAGUCACUGAUUGUAUAGAAGUCUCCCUGAACAGAGAUGUGUUGACCGUGAAUGGGUGCUGCCGAAUGAUAAGAAGUUGGGUUUGCCCAAGGAAACACAGCUAGCGUUGGCAGAGUGUGAAGACACAGUAAGAAGGCAGCCGUCUGCAAUCCUGGAAGAGGGUUCUCACGCCAACCCUUGCUGGCACCCUGACCUUGGGCUUCCAACAUCCAGAACUGACACAGUGACCCCACAACACCCCUGGGCAAACAGGCAGGGAGAAGUGAAGCUACUUGCCCAAGAUCACCCAGCUCAAAAGGGCCAGAGGACGGAGAAGCUGAGAGGAAACCCCGGUGAAGAAGAGGCAGUUGUGUGGGAGAAGCCUUUGCCGUCUCUGGAGGGCCUUGCAGCCCAAGGGAGGGGCUCUCCGCAGCUCGGAGCCCAGGCCUGGCUGAGGAGGGGGCCAGAAGAUGCUCACAAGCACGCCCUGUGCCUGCGGCCCGCUGCCUGGUGCAGCCCCUCUGCGUGCAAGUAACACUAGAGAAGGAAAGACCCUGGCCUUACUGACCACCUGUCCCAUCACCU